rnacentral:rRNA from 1 species
UACGUAGGUGGCAAGCGUUGUCCGGAUUUACUGGGCGUAAAGAGCGCGCAGGCGGUCGUUCAAGUCGCGUGUGAAAGCCCCCGGCUCAACUGGGGAGGGUCACGCGAUACUGAUCGACUCGAAGGCAGGAGAGGGUAGUGGAAUUCCCGGUGUAGUGGUGAAAAUGCGUAGAUAUCGGGGAGGAACACCAGUGGCGAAGGCGACUACCUGGCCUGUUUCUUGACGCUGAGGCGCGAAAGCUAGGGGAGCAAACGGG